rnacentral:rRNA from 1 species
CUGAUUGAUUCUGUCAGCGAUGUAUGCUCAAGUAAAAGAUUAAGCCAUGCAUGCAUAGUUCAAAUUUUUGUUGAAACUGCGAACGGCUCAUUAGAGCAGAUGUCACUUUUUGCUGUCCUCUAUGAGGAUAACUGCGAUAAAUUUGGAGCUAAUACAUAUUUAAAAGCAUGCUCUCACGAGCAUGUACCAUUAUUAGUACAAACCAUGCAGCGUUUGUUGACUCUGAAUAUCGUAGAUAAUCGAAGGUUAAUCCAUCGAUUUAAGCAUUAGGUGUCUGCCCUAUCAACCUGAUGGUAGUUUAUUAGACUACCAUGGUGAUUACGGGUAACGGAGAAUCAGGGUUCGUCUCCGGAGAGGGAGCCUUAGAAACGGCUACCACAUCCAAGGAAGGCAGCAGGCGCGUAACUUAUCCACUACUUUAGUGAGAUAGUGACUAAAUAUAAAGAGACCAAUCCUCUGGAUUGGUUAUUUCAAUGAGAUGAGCUUAAAUAGCUCUUCGAGGACCCAGUGGAGGGCAAGUCUGGUGCCAGCAGCCGCGGUAAUUCCAGCUCCACUAGUGUAAAUCGUCAUUGCUGCGGUUAAAAAGCUCGUAGUUGAUAUCGAGACAUCUGUUUGGGUACGGCUCUGCCGCUAAUCCACUCAGUGUCUAACUUGCUGGUUUUCGGUAGGCUACUUCGGUUCCUGCUGUGACUAGCAAGUUUACCUUGAUCAAAUGAAUAUGCUCAAGGUAGGCGUUUGCCUGUAUUUUAGCUCAAGGAAUAAUAAAAUAGGAUUUAGUCGUAUUUUAUUGGUUUUGCGAUUAAUUAAUGAUUAACAAGGACAAUUCGGGGGCAUUCGUAUCCUUGCGCGAGAGGUGAAAUUCGUUGACCGUAGGGAGACGUCCAAUAGCGAAAGCAUUUGCCAAGAAUGUCCUUAUUAAUCAAGAACGAAAGUUAGAGGUUCGAAGGCGAUUAGAUACCGCCCUAGUUCUAACCGUAAACUAUGCCAUCUAGCGAUCCGAAGAGGUAUUAUGUCUCGUCGGGGAGCUUCCCGGAAACGAAAGUUUUUCGGUUCCGGGGGUAGUAUGGUUGCAAAGCUGAAACUUAAAGAAAUUGACGGAAGGGCACCACCAGGAGUGGAGCCUGCGGCUUAAUUUGACUCAACACGGGAAAACUCACCCGGCCCGGACACCAGUAGGAUUGACAGAUUGAUAGCUCUUUCUCGAUUUGGUGGUUGGUGGUGCAUGGCCGUUCUUAGUUGGUGGAGUGAUUUGUCUGGUUUAUUCCGAUAACGAGCGAGACUCUAACCUGCUAAAUAGUAUGUCAAUUUUCGAGUUGGCAGAACUUCUUAGAGGGAUAAGCGGUGUUUAACCGCACGAGAUUGAGCGAUAACAGGUCUGUGAUGCCCUUAGAUGUCCGGGGCUGCACGCGCGCUACACUGGAAGAUUCAGCUGGUUUUUCAUUGCCGAAAGGUAAUGGUAAACCGGUCAAACUCUUCCGUGACCGGGAUUGGGAAUUGCAAUUAUUUCCCUUGAACGAGGAAUUCCUAGUAAGUGUGAGUCAUCAGCUCACGCUGAUUACGUCCCUGCCCUUUGUACACACCGCCCGUCGCUGUCCGGGACUGAGCUGUUUCGAGAAGACUGAGGAUUGACGCUGCGAGGCUUCGGCUUUUCUGUGUCGAGAAUCAGUUUGAUCGCAAUGGCUUGAACCGGGCAAAAGUCGUAACAAGGUACCUGUAGGUGAACCUGCAGCUGGAUCAUCG